AUUGAACGCUGGCGGCAUGCCUUACACAUGCAAGUCGAACGGUAACAGGUCUUCGGAUGCUGACGAGUGGCGAACGGGUGAGUAAUACAUCGGAACGUGCCCGAUCGUGGGGGAUAACGAAGCGAAAGCUUUGCUAAUACCGCAUAAGAUCUACGGAUGAAAGCAGGGGACCGCAAGGCCUUGCGCGAACGGAGCGGCCGAUGGCAGAUUAGGUAGUUGGUGGGAUAAAAGCUUACCAAGCCGACGAUCUGUAGCUGGUCUGAGAGGUCGACCAGCCACACUGGGACUGAGACACGGCCCAGACUCCUACGGGAGGCAGCAGUGGGGAAUUUUGGCCAAUGGGCGAAGGCCUGAUCCAGCCAUGCCGCGUGCAGGAUGAAGGCCUUCGGGUUGUAAACUGCUUUUGUACGGAACGAAAAGACUCUUUCUAAUAAAGAGGGUCCAUGACGGUACCGUAAGAAUAAGCACCGGCUAACUACGUGCCAGCCGCCGCCGUAA
rnacentral:rRNA from 1 species